UGCUUAACACAUGCAAGUCGAGCGGUAAGGCCUUUCGGGGUACACGAGCGGCGAACGGGUGAGUAACACGUGGGUGAUCUGCCCUGCACUUCGGGAUAAGCCUGGGAAACUGGGUCUAAUACCGGAUAUGACCUCCUAUCGCAUGGUGGGUGGUGGAAAGAUUUAUCGGUGCAGGAUGGGCCCGCGGCCUAUCAGCUUGUUGGUGGGGUAAUGGCCUACCAAGGCGACGACGGGUAGCCGACCUGAGAGGGUGACCGGCCACACUGGGACUGAGACACGGCCCAGACUCCUACGGGAGGCAGCAGUGGGGAAUAUUGCACAAUGGGCGAAAGCCUGAUGCAGCGACGCCGCGUGAGGGAUGACGGCCUUCGGGUUGUAAACCUCUUUCAGCAGGGACGAAGCGCAAGUGAC
rnacentral:rRNA from 1 species